rnacentral:rRNA from 1 species
ACGCACGCUGGCGGCGUGCUUAACACAUGCAAGUCGAACGGAUAGGCCCUGCUUUUGUGGGGUGCUCGAGUGGCGAACGGGUGAGUAACACGUGAGUAACCUGCCCUUGACUUUGGGAUAACUUCAGGAAACUGGGGCUAAUACCGGAUAGGAGCUCCUGCUGCAUGGUGGGGGUUGGAAAGUUUCGGCGGUUGGGGAUGGACUCGCGGCUUAUCAGCUUGUUGGUGGGGUAGUGGCUUACCAAGGCUUUGACGGGUAGCCGGCCUGAGAGGGUGACCGGCCACAUUGGGACUGAGAUACGGCCCAGACUCCUACGGGAGGCAGCAGUGGGGAAUAUUGCACAAUGGGCGGAAGCCUGAUGCAGCAACGCCGCGUGCGGGAUGACGGCCUUCGGGUUGUAAACCGCUUUCGCCUGUGACGAAGCGUGAGUGACGGUAAUGGGUAAAGAAGCACCGGCUAACUACGUG